UCUCGAUAGCGUAAAAGUUAUCUCGUAUGGAGUUGGAACGUUUGUCUAUGUUUGCCGCUAGAGGCGCUGUUCUAACUGCAUACAACUUUGAGUUACCUUUUACGCUAUCGA
rnacentral:pre_miRNA from 9 species